GACUCGGUGGCGAACGGUCCGCGUGCUCUUCAAAUAAAUCGGGAAAUUCAGUGUCUUGAAGCAGGUGCCUGUUCGACUCAGGCCUGAGUCA